CGGGACGUGGCGCAGCCUGGUAGCGCGCUUCCUUGGGGUGGAAGAGGCCGUGAGUUCGAAUCUCGCCGUCCCGA
rnacentral:tRNA from 3 species